rnacentral:RNase_P_RNA from 1 species
GAAGUUAGUCGGGCAGUCGCUGUAUUUUUAAUUUUUUAAGGAUAUAGAGGAAAGUCCGGGCUUCAUAGGACAGGGUGCCAGGUAACGCCUGGAGAGCAUAAGCUUAUGGAAAGUGCCACAGAAAAUAUACCGCCCUUAGGUAAUUUAGAAGGGGUAAGGGUGAAAAGGUGUCGGUAAGAGCGCACCGCAUUGGUGGUAACAUCAAUGGCAAGGUAAACCCCACCUGAAGCAAGACCAAAUAAUGGAAUUUAUAGAAUAAAAAAUAAAAAAUGAAAAAUAGUUUUAGAACAUUUUAUAUUUGGCAUUCUAUUAGAGAUGUGGUCCGCAUCGUUCCUGGGUAGGUCGCUAGAGGUGUCUGGUGACAGACAUCCCAGAUGAAUGGCUGCCCCAUUGGUGAUUUUCAUACUCUUCUGUAUUUAAAGGGGAUUUGGAGAUUUAACCGGUGGACAGAACCCGGCUUAUAGACUAACUUCUUUA